GCUCCCAUGGCGUAGUGGUCACUGCGCUCGCCUUGCACGCGGGAGACCCGGGUUCGAUUCCCAGCGGUGUCA
rfam:Asian citrus Psyllid, Diaphorina citri - Florida Strain, whole genome shotgun sequence.